UACGUAGGGGGCAAGCGUUGUCCGGAUUUAUUGGGCGUAAAGAGCGUGUAGGCGGUCAGAAAAGUCCGCUGUGAAAACUCGAGGCUCAACUUCGAGCUGUCGGUGGAAACUUUCUGGCUAGAGUCCGGAAGAGGAGAAUGGAAUUCCUGGUGUAGCGGUGAAAUGCGCAGAUAUCAGGAAGAACACCCGUGGCGAAGGCGGUUCUCUGGGACGGUACUGACGCUGAGACGCGAAAGCGUGGGGAGCGAACAGG
rnacentral:rRNA from 1 species